rnacentral:tRNA from 1 species
CAAGGCGUAGCUAUAACCCCAAAGCAUUCAGCUUACACCUGAAAGAUACCUGCCCCCUCACCAGGUCGCCUUGA